rnacentral:rRNA from 2 species
UGGCUCAGAACGAACGCUGGCGGCAGGCUUAACACAUGCAAGUCGAGCGCCGUAGCAAUACGGAGCGGCAGACGGGAGAGUAACACGUGGGAACGUGCCCUUUAGUUCGGAACAACCCAGGGAAACUUGGGCUAAUACCGGAUACGCCCUUACGGGGAAAGAUUUAUCGCUGAAGGAGCGGCCCGCGUCGGAUUAGCUAGUUGGUGAGGUAUCUGGCUCACCAAGGCAGCAAACCGUAGCUGGUCUGAGAGGAUGAUCAGCCACACUGGGAUUGAUCCUCGGCCCAUGGACCUACGGGAGGC